rnacentral:lncRNA from 1 species
UUAACAUAUUCACAAAAAAAUAAAUAAAUACAUUCAAUACAUUUUUAAUAUAAAAUGGUUGAUAUCAGAAGUUAACAGAUUGUAUAAAAGGUAUAUAGGUGAUAAUUCAGCUGAUUUGUUAAGUUUUUAUAUAAAAUUGUGAGUACACAUGUUCUUCAUUAAUGGGAACUAAUGCCAUCCCUUAAUGAACGGGCCAAAGGCCCAAUAGUUCUAAUUCUAGGAUCUUUACUUCAUUACCAACCGCCUUAAUAGAAAUCAAUU